GACGAGUUCUCGUUGAUGAUCGGUGCUUGCACCGAGAUUCAACAUGGAACGAGUGGCGGACGGGUGAGUAACACGUGGGUAACCUGCCCUUAAGUGGGGGAUAACAUUUGGAAACAGAUGCUAAUACCGCAUAGAUCCAAGAACCGCAUGGUUCUUGGCUGAAAGAUGGCGUAAGCUAUCGCUUUUGGAUGGACCCGCGGCGUAUUAGCUAGUUGGUGAGGUAAUGGCUCACCAAGGCGAUGAUACGUAGCCGAACUGAGAGGUUGAUCGGCCACAUUGGGACUGAGACACGGCCCAAACUCCUACGGGAGGCAGCAGUAGGGAAUCUUCCACAAUGGACGCAAGUCUGAUGGAGCAACGCCGCGUGAGUGAAGAAGGCUUUCGGGUCGUAAAACUCUGUUGUUGGAGAAGAAUGGUCGGCAGAGUAACUGUUGUCGGCGUGACGGUAUCCAACCAGAAAGCCACGGCUAACUACGUGCCAGCAGCCGCGGUAAUACGUAGGUGGCAAGCGUUAUCCGGAUUUAUUGGGCGUAAAGCGAGCGCAGGCGGUUUUUUAAGUCUGAUGUGAAAGCCCUCGGCUUAACCGAGGAAGCGCAUCGGAAACUGGGAAACUUGAGUGCAGAAGAGGACAGUGGAACUCCAUGUGUAGCGGUGAAAUGCGUAGAUAUAUGGAAGAACACCAGUGGCGAAGGCGGCUGUCUGGUCUGUAACUGACGCUGAGGCUCGAAAGCAUGGGUAGCGAACAGGAUUAGAUACCCUGGUAGUCCAUGCCGUAAACGAUGAAUGCUAGGUGUUGGAGGGUUUCCGCCCUUCAGUGCCGCAGCUAACGCAUUAAGCAUUCCGCCUGGGGAGUACGACCGCAAGGUUGAAACUCAAAGGAAUUGACGGGGG
rnacentral:rRNA from 1 species